CUUUUCUUAUUGUAACUGACUGUAUGCUGAGAGCGAAUAUCUAUAUGCUGAGACUUUGCUGAUUUCUUUUUUCCUUUGCAUUAGGUUCGUGAACUAGCUGAGAAGGAACCUGAGAAUGGUGUUUUCAAAAUGCUCCGAAAUGACGUCACUCGUUUCCUGACAACUAUUCUCAUUGGCACAACGUAAUCCAUGGCAUUUCUAAGUUGUGCAUCACUCAUUGCAAUUUUGUUUUACUAACCCUAAACCCUAAUCUCGGGCAUAAUUUGUAUGAAAUAGUGUGGUCAACAUUGGCGCAACAGCAAUUGUUACUGAGGCAGCAACAGCAAUGUUUGGUGAAGCAGGUGUUAGUGCAGCAACAGGUGUCAUGACAGUAUGUCUCCUGUCUCAUACUGGCCUUCUGCUCUUGUGUAAGUGUUCUUUAAUCUAACUAUGGAGCACCAUUUUUUAGGUUGCCAUCUUACUUCUUACAGAGAUCACUCCCAAAAGUGUUGCAGUCCAUAAUGCCACCGAGGUCGCUAGGUUUGUGGUAAGGUGAGAGAUAUCAAGUAUAACUUAGUUUCAAACAUGUUUAUUUUGAGUACUGAACAUUGUGCAUUUGUUGCGAUAUAUCAGACCGGUCGCAUGGCUUUCGCUGAUCCUCUAUCCAGUUGGGCGGAUUGCUACUUUUCUGUCUAUGGGAAUGCUAAAGAUUCUAGGCCUGAAAGGGAGAAGGUAAGACUGUAAGAGUAUGUAUAAUACUCUAGUUCUUGAUCAACUAGAAGAUAAAUUCUUUGAAAAUAUGCCAACUCAAUAAGCUCAUGUUAGUCAUAGAUUAUAUCCCCCAUUAGUUAUGAUAUGCUUUCAAGAAGGAUACACAAACAAUAAAUUAAUUCAUGCCACAAGAACCACACAGAACUCUUUUUUAAGAGCAUAUGGCUUGCUCUGCGUAGUGGAUAUAACCAGGGAAGCACAAGGAUUGAGUUUCUAGGUGUGUGUGGGUUCUGCUCAGGUGGGCAACUCUAGCUUCAUCCAUCUGUAUCUUUUUCUUGAUGAAAUGGCAUGCAGCUCUUUUGCGUCAUUCGAGAAAAAAUAACCAGGGAAGCACACUGAUUGAGUUCCUGGUUCCUGCCAAAUAAAAUCUCACCUGUUUUCUUUUAAAAAUGGAUUAAACUUGUAUAUUACUAGAAUUCAAGUACAAAUGAGAUGGUACAACAUGGACUAGAUUAGACUAGUUUGAGUAUGUGUUGAGUCUAGUUUAUAGGGUGAUAGUUGUACUUUCUAAAAUUUCUAUAAUUAGUAAAUAGUGCAGUGACUAUAUUUUUAAUCAAUAGAUGACCGUUGACACUAUUCCAAGAAUUGCAUAUCAUCUGUUAUUGUUCAUGAAGGAUCUAAUUCUAGUUUGAAUUUGCUAGAAACUUAUUGAUUGCUUUCUGUAUAAUUUAGUUUACAAAUUGAAUUUAGUAUCUGAUAUUGUAAUACAAUACACAUUUGUAUGUUAUUUUUUGCAUUUUUUUUACAAAAUCCAGUACUCAAGUACAUUGAUUUGCUAUGUCUUUUAGUUACUACAUUUGUAUAUGUUUAACCAAUAUACAAUUGAGAUUCCUAUAUAGAUAAGAUUUAGUUUUUCUUUUUCAUAACUCUUGACAUUUCUGGAGAUCUACUUCUGAAUCUUGUGCAUCAUAUACACUUCUUUCCUCAGUGAACCAUAUGUUACUGAAGAUGAACUGAAGUUAAUGUUACGAGGAGCAGAGUUGAGUGGUGCAAUUGCAGAAGAUGAACAGGUUAGACAAUCUAGUAUAUGGAGAUGCCCAUAUAUUGUGCUGCAUAUUUCCUUCUUUAUUCUUUAUGUUUCUGUGUACCUCACAGCAAGAUUUUGUUAUCCAGUGCAAUCUAGGCAAAGCCUUUACUUACAAUUUUUAUAUCAUAUAGAAAGCUGACUACUUACAUAAAUAAAGAGUGAAUUAAUGAAAUUUCAGGAAAAUAGUAACUAACGUUUUUGCAUGAUUUUAACUGCUAAUUUAAUGUUUGUACACCAUCUCAUCACAUAUAUCCAGAAUUUGAAAAGCAGUAUGGCCCCAAAGGUUUGAGUUAGAUUAUACUGUUGCAGACUAGGAUUUUGCCUCUUGAUAGUUUACUAGCACACUUUGGCUACUUCUUUGUUUUCUUGAAAACGCAGGAGAGCUGCACUUCAUUAUAUUAAGAGGAUAAAGGGCAAGAGCCCGAACAACCCCACAAACACCAUACACACACCACACACAUCACACACUCACGCCCCAACAGAAAUGUUACAUUCGCGCCCGUAAGAAAACACACAACGCGACCACUACUAGGCUAAACAUUUCUAACUAUCGGGGAGGAGGGCAGUCAAGAAUGAUAGCUCUCGAGCUGCUGCCAUAGACCAUAAACGGCGCUCCUCGCCUGCUAUGAUCAGAGCGCCAGCAAGGUUUGGAGCUGCUCCAUCAAAGACACACCCAUUGCGAUGGUUCCAUAUAGUCCAAGCUCCGAGCAUAACAAGAGAAUUAAUUCCUUGCCUUGUCAGCCCAUCAGCAGUGCUGCUAGCCUUCUCCCACCAAGCAUGGAAGGAUAAUUCUGUAAGCUGAGGGGACAAAAGCCUGAUUGAACCAAAAUUCUCUUGUGAACACACAAUGGACAAGUAGAUGGUCGAUAGUCUCCUUUUCAUGGUCACAAAGGAGGCAAUUCUCCGGAUGAGGUAACCCUCGGCGUGCUAGACGAUCAGCUGUCCAGCACUUAUUGUGCGACCAGCCACAUAAAGAAACGGCAUUUGGGCAGCACCCAUGAUUUCCAAAUCUUUUCCCAUGGUCCAAAAAGAGUAGAUCCGAAAAAGAAGCCUUCAUAUGCCGAUUUAGCCAAGUAUUGUCCAUUAGAGGAGAGCCUCCAUAGGUGCUGCAGCUGAAAAUCCAGAAGUAGAUCCCACCAUAAGUGAAAGUAGUCAACAAACCCACCAACUGUGAGCGCUCCUUGUAUGUCCAAAAUCCAAGCCCGGUUAGUAAGGGCAUCCUGGACAGUAUGCUGCUUAACCCUCCUUUUAGGAGUAGCCACAAAAAGUCGAGGGGCAAGAUCUGCAAUGCAUUGCCCAUUGAUCCGAUCUGUCCAGAAAAGAGUGUUUGCACCAUCCAAUUUCAGAAGUUACUGCCACUGAGUAGAAGGCUCUUACUUGCUUCGGCACAUGGAAUGGUAGAGCAGCCCAAGGACAAUGAGGUUCUGUUUUCUGCAGCCAAACCCAUCUCGUGCGCAAGGACCAGCCAAGGGUUUUUAAAUCUGAAAUUCCCAGGCCUCCAAGCUCUGGUGGGCCACAGACUUUGACCCAAGCCACAAGACAAUGACCACCUUUUUGCAUAUUUUCGACCCCUCCAAAGAAAGCCACGCCAAAUUUUAUUUACCACUUUGAUAGCCAUGGAGGAAAGUCGAAAGCAAUAGCUAAGUAAAUGAGCAUUCUCAGUGAGAACUGAUUGUACUUGAACCCUUCUUCCAGCCCUUGUCAUUAGGUCUGCCUUCCAGCCAGGAAGUUGAUCUGCAGUACGAUCAAUAAUAGGCUGCACUUGUUUCUUUAGGGAGAGGGGCAGACCUAAGUAUUUGCAUGGGAAAUCCGAGAGGGGCACACCUAGCUAGUUUCUUUGGCUACUGUUAUCCUUUAGGUAUUUUGCAGAACCUUUCCAUAGCAAUCCCAUUAAUCUUUAGGAAGCGAUCCCAUUUGUUAAAGCCCCUGCAGGCAACUUUCAAGUUCAUUAUUCUCGAUCACAGGUAGUCAUUCUGCAUAUUUUUCCCUCAGAAUCAUCAUAAGAAUUGGGUUAAGUGGAUAGGUCAGACUAUAGCAUGGAAAUACAUAAGUACUGAUAGGUUGUUGAAACUAUCUAAGACUACAGAUUUAUCGUGUCAAUUUGUCACAAAUAACAGAUUUUAGCUGAUGAAAUCAGUACUUCUGCAGUACAUAGAAAUACUAAAUGUGUAGUUUUAGUUUUGCAAAAACAAGGACACUAAAUUUAUAAUUCUGUGAUAAAACUUCUUAAAUCUGUAGUUUUGUGAUAGCAUAGCCCACUCACACAUAUACAAAAAAAAAGAAAAAGAAAAAAAGGAACCAUAUAGUUAUUUAUGUGCUUAGAUUCUAGGCCCUAGAACUAGAACCUAUAGCUGUGUUACACUAUUAUGAAUUCCUAGUCCGUGCCUGCUUGUGCAGGACACUUUUCUACUUGAUCAGCUAAAGUCAGCACCUGAGUCUUUUAACAGGAUAUGAUCGAGAAUGUCCUGGAAAUUAAAGAUACACAGGUGAGGGAAGUAAUGACGCCUUUGGUGGACGUAGUUGCAAUUGAUGCUAUUGCAACACUUAUUGAUUUCAAAAACUUGUGGGAAACUCAUCAGUACUCUAGGUAUUGUCAACUAUUAUUGUCGCGUGUAUUUUCAAGUCUUAUCACUGACAUCUGCUGCUAUUUGUUAUUUCCAGAGUUCCUGUAUUUGAGGAGCGCAUAGAUAAUAUUGUUGGAAUUGCAUAUGCAAUGGACAUGCUUGAAUAUGUUGAAGAGGUAUGUCUCUUGUUUACCAUUUAAUGUAAAACUUAAUCACAGUGAGUCUUAUUUGCUCCACAUGAUGCUUCUCUAAAGGGAAAGUAAAAGGUGUAUUUUUCUUUUGAAGGUUGAGAAGCUGAAUGAAAUCACUGUUAAGAAAAUCGCACAUAUGCCUACAUACUUUGUUCCAGGUAAUUUUUAGUAACAUUGUUGGAUACAAGUAUCAUGAUGAACUAAAAGAAGGCAUCUGUCAGUAGUUAUAGGGUUGGAUGUUUUUCCACAACAAUUAAUCAUUUCUGCCACAUGUUUUCUCCCAUCUAUGCAUCAUGGAUGUAACAUAUGAUACUGUUUCAUCUGGCAGAUUCAAUGUCUGUUUGGAACCUAUUAAGAGAGUUCCGGAUCAGGCAGGUUCAUAUGGCAGUGGUCCUUAAUGAAUAUGGUGGAACUAUUGGUGUAUGUCCCUAUGAAACCCAUUUUUUAUACUUUACAAACUGGACACAGUUUAGUACUUGUUAAUAUUCUUGUUAUGCUUUCAUCCAAGGCUAGUUGCUCAAUUGAGACCAUUUUGACUUAUGGCACACAACGAGGUUCAACAUUGUUUACUCCAAUCAAUUUUUAGUUGUAACUUCCAAGCAUGCUAGUUAGUUUGCUAAUAAUUGAUGAAUGCUAGUCAGUACAUGGUGACAUUUUGAUGGCCAUUUAUUGGCAACACUACUGGCUUUUGUUCCACAAUGGUCGUGUUUUUAGCACAAGCAUGUGGUGCGAUGCUUCAAGUGAUCUUGCUGCACAGCUUAUGUAACUGCAGCAAUGGGGCACUUUUCAUCUGUUGCAGUAGCAGUCCCUGUUGUUCAUGGUUUGUUUCCUUUUAAGAUAUACCCCACACAUAGAGAUUAGUUAUGCUCCAUGCAGCAGAGAUUAUUACUUUCCACAAGUUUAGAGAUUGUUUCUUAGGAAGUAGUUAUGCUCACAGUUUGUUCAUCAGUUUCUGUUUUCAGAAGUAGUUGAUGAGCGAUGAACAUGUUUUGAUUAUGUUUGCUGCUGAAAGGAUAAUUCUUUAAGAUGUUUUUCUCAUUACUGAUGCUCAUUGGUAAAAGUUGCAAAUGAUUGGACAAAGCUACUACCCGUGAGCUUCCUUUGUCUCACAUACCCUUCGAGCAAUUACGCUUUAAUGUAGCAAUAUCUAUCCAUUACUUGCAGCAACUAAGUCCUAUUGUAUUCAGAAAUGUUUAUUAGAACAGUUUGUAAUUUCAUAUGUUUAUCACUGCAUGGGACAUUGGGAAUUACUCUGACCUUUGGCCAAAAAAAAAUGCAGAUUGUAACACUAGAAGAUGUAGUGGAAGAAAUAGUUGGUGAAAUAUUUGACGAGAAUGAUUCCAAGGUGAUUAUUUCUGGAAUUUUUUAUUUCAAAUCGCAAGUGGGUGUUCAGUGCCAUACAUAUGCAUGCUAUUAUUUUCUAUUUCUUUUUCAAAAUUAUUUCCCCCUUUCUUUUGGUUUAUUAUUCCCUUUUUGCCUUGUAACUAUCGUUCUUAUAUUACAUAACUGACUUUUCAUAUGUUGGUAAUAAAUAAUGAUAUGCUAGCAUUUGAACUUACGAAAUUUAGUGGGCCAAACAUACUGAGCCAUGCCAAAAAAGACAGGCAAAUCAUACAGUCAUAUUUUAGCAGCAGCAGUGCAUUAGCGCGGUGGGUACUGAGCCGGAGUUUGCAUGUGCCUGAAGGUGGCUGAAUGAAUAAGGUGGAUAUUACCCUACCCGCACCCAAAUCAAAAUGUGUAUUUUAUUUCUACCCAUACCCUCCCCAAUUAAUGCGGGUGUGGAUUUGAAUAUGGGGAUUGAAUAUCCAGCGGCAGGUAUAAAGAUUAGAUCUCCUGCCUCAGUGCUUCUCCAAGAUCUGGAAGCAGCUGCUUCACUCCUAUUUUCUGUAUCCUAGUCAAAACAAAGGAUUUUUCCAUGUAGCAAGCUAGUUGCUCUUUGUCAUUUGCUUAGGCAGUCUCUCAAUUCCUUCUGCUACUCUGUUUUUCACCCUUUCAGGAGGAAAUCCAGAAGAAAACAGGCUAUAUAGUGAGGCGGGGAGAUGGAACAUUUGAUGUUGAUGCAAAUACAUCAAUAGAUCACCUCUCUGAAGAGCUUGGUAUCAAAAUACCAGAGGUAUUGUUUCUCAUUUGAUCUUAGCUUUCUCUACAGUUGCUAUGCAUUCCCUUGGACAUGUGUAUAUUUAAGGAAGGUAUGGCUCGGAAAAUAGUAGAUUGAUUAUGAGUAGUACAAAAGGGUAGGCAAGGAUGAUCUGGGAUUUAUAGAACAAUACCCAAUCAGGGAGAUCCUUGCCUAAUAGCUAAUCAACUACAUAAAACCCAUGGAGGCAGGCUUAGGUGCCAGGGCCCAUGCGGCCAGCCCAAUAGCCCUCUGGAAACUCCAUUCUAACAUAUAUGUUGGAGUGGACACUGUAUGAUGAUCAUCGAAAUGUGAGUUCCAUCAUUUAGAGAUGCCUGGUUUGCAGAACCUAUACAGAUAUAACGUUAUUAUAUCUAUUUUUUGGUGGAAACUGGACAUUUAAUAUUUAGGUCAACAAAAUAUUCACAAAUGUUCUGUUUGUAAAAUAUGCCCUUGGUAGUCAUCAUUUAUAUGGUGCUCUGUAUUUCUGUCAUGUUUCUCGUAGAUUGGCUGAUAAUCUUGAGACACUUGGACACUAUCUUUUGGCAGGGGCAUCAGUAUGAGACGGUGUCUGGUUUUGUCUGUGCAUCUUUUGGCUAUAUUCCAGAAGAAGGUGGGAAAAUGCUUGUGAUUCUUGAAAAGGAUUACAGAGAAGAAAACGGUGAAUAUCAGGAGGAAGGUUCUGAUCGCCAAGAUGAUAGAGAAAAAACUCAAGCUUACGAACUUGAGGUAAUUGUUACAACUCCUUGUGUACUCUGUUUGCUCAAGAGUUCUAGUACCAGGUCAAUUAUUAUAAUGCGAUUAUCUUGUCAUCGCUAGAAAUCUUUACUAGUAUAUAUAACUAUUAUGAAUUUUCCUUCAUUACUUGAAAGCUGAAAGACACCACAAAAGCUUCAAUUUUCUUUGUUGAUGCAAUACCAUGAAACCUUUUUUGUUAAAUAACUCUCAUUAGAACCAAUUUUCCAUACAGGGCAUUUGGUUCUUAGAUCAUUUUAUAGGAUAUUUCGUACUAUAAGUAAGAACCAACUACUAUCCACAAUUACCUCUACAUGCUUGUUUGUGCAUAUAAAAAGACAACAAUACUCAGAAGGUUGCUGUAACAUGUCCACACUCCGCUUUUGUGGUGCUAAUACUACCGAACAUUUGUAAUUGCUUUUUUUAUUUGAAGCUAAAAAAAGAAAGUAUACAAAAACUAAUAGAUAAGAAAACCAACUACUCAAUUGUCAAUUCAGAAUUCAUACUGUGGGUUAUAAGGUUAUUUCAGUGAAAUUGUUUUGGUAUUGGUACACAACCUUUAUUAGUUGGUGCAACUCCCAUUUCCGGAAGUCUUCGUACACUUUAAUUGAAUUGCUGCAGCCCUAGGAAUCCAUAGUUUCUGUUUCACAAUUCACCCAAAGUUUCAUUCUUUGUUGCAGAAUUAAAUAACCUUCUGUAGUUGUUUUCACUACCUUUAUUACCUGGCUUCUCUUGCUCACAGAUAGUGGAAGCUAAUGCAAGGAAGGUGGGCAAAGUCCUAUUUAAGCCAAUAAGCAGUGAAUGUGUUGGUGUUGACAACAAGGGUGUGAACCGCCUGGUCUCCAAGAAGAUCAUCAAACGGAAGAAGCAGGGCUAUGAUGAUUCCUCCGGUGACGAGUAUCCAGAUACAACAGAGAAUGGCUGCCCUGCUGAGGCACUCUCCUACUCGGAUGGUAACAGUGCCUUGUUGGAAGAUGCAAGCAGUUCUAGUGCCAAGAGGUGACAAUAAAGGAACUCCAAGACCAUCGUACUACUGGUAAUAAUUACAGCACACCGUCACCGGUCCUAAUACCCCUUGUUACAACAGAAGAAGAUGAGAAGAACAUAGUAGUAGGCUACCCAAAAAAAAAAACUGCGAGAGCAACACCAAGAGGUUAACAGCAGUUUAAGGCAUUGCAACAUUUUUCAGUAGCAGGAGUAGCAGUAGUAGCAGUCUAGAGGUGCAGCGAGGUGUCGACGUCGACUUCACCAGAGACAUGUUUGUAGUUGUAGGUCUUACUGGGCCACAGCUCCACCGCAAUGGGGUCGCUAUCGCCGUGGAGCUGGAAGCUUUUGCAUUCACAGACAGUGGUUGGCACGGCCGGGAAUAAGGAGGCUGCGGCGGCAACAGCGGCAGUGGUUUCCCGCAGCGGCCUGCACGGGUAGAGCAGCUCCGGGUGGAAGAACCACUUGACGGGCAUCUCCCUCGGGGAGGCGGUGGCCGCAGGGCGGGGGGCGAGCACGUGGAGAAGCCUCUCCUCCCGCUUCUCCCUGAUCCUCUCCAGCUCCCUGAACCUCUGCUGCAGCAGGGCGAUGGAGGAGAACAUCACCUGGCCUUCGCUGCUCUGCACCCCCAUGAUGACUGGGCGAGAGGGGGAGCUCUCACUCCAGCUCCGAGUUUCAGUUACGUGUUCGUGUCGUGUGUAUCUCACUCAAGCGUCUGUCUACUUCGCUCGGUGUGUGUGGGGGUUUUGCUUGCUGCUUGAAGGGGUGGUGGUCUUGGGCAUGUGCGUAUUUAUAAGCCGCAAAGUUUUGUCACGGCGCAGGGCGUCGUCUUGUGGUCGUCUUGCAAGUUGCGCCAAUUCUUUCAUCUUCAUCUUCCAUUAUGUGAUGCUAUGCCUGUUUGUGUGUUUUGUUUAUGGGCUGAUUGAAAAACAAAAGAGGCACUAUUGGUAUGAGAGAGAAUCUGGGAGGAGAAUGUCACGUCGCCCGAGAAAGGAAGUGGGAGGCGUGCAGGUGAGAGAAUAAGGGGCGUGGCGUGGGAGAGUCCAAGGAAAUGGGGCUGUGGACGCUUGCGCUUGUUCCGUUCCUGGCGGUGGGAAUCGCCGUGUGCCGUUGUGAUGUGCGGGGUGGCCAUGAUUGCGCCUCUGUUUGUCUGUCACCUUUUUCCCUUGCGCAUUGCUGCAGCAGCAGGGCAGGGGAGAGGUCUGCAUGCCCUGCCAUGCCCUGCCCUGCUGCUCGUACUAGCUCGCUACUACUCCCUUCCCCCUCUCCAUCCAAACGGGCACUGCGAGCUUUUCCUGGUCUAUAAUGGCGUCGUUGGAGCUGUAGUACGUGCUGUUCGUAGCAACUGUGGGCAGCGCUUUCAGGUGUGGAACUGUGCACUCCAUGAGCCAUUGUCUUCGUUUGCGUGUGUGAACGUGUUGGAGAGUCUGGGAGCAGAAAGUCUGCGUUGAACGUUACUUCUUUGGGUCUUUGACUGGUGCGUCCAUAGAUCUGUGAAUGGGAGCGCUGAUUGCACGCUGCGUAGUACAGUGCGUUCGAGUAACGCUGAGACGGCGUGCUGCUUUGAAGUUUCAACUUUUGGUUAAUUCAGGAAAGUUGAUUGAUCUUAUGUUUUUUGACGGCCAGGUAAACACGGCCAAUUGCACCGGCGUCAAAAAGACCUCUGUCAUCCGAUGCUUUGGACAGUAAUUGAGAUAUUCGUAACAAAUGCUUCACUACCCGAAGAGAAAACUAGUUUUCGUUGGUUUCCGCAUUUUGUGAAAAUAAGAAAGGGCAUGUUUGAGUCAGAGUCGGGUUAUUAUAAUUGGAUUAUCGACUCUAAUAAUUAGAGUGCUAGAUUUUUUGUGGUGGAACCUAUCCAUUUCUUGCCUAGCCAGCCAACUAUCAUGAUGCUACAUGGUAUUUAAGUAACGACCAUUUUCUCAAAUGGUCAAGGAUUAUAUUCUUCUUUGAUUUUUUUUUCCCUUCAAGUGGCCUAGGGUUUUGUAGUCUAAUGUGAACAAUAUCAGGUGAAAACAAAAUAGCAUCAAAGAAUAGAUAGCCAAAAUGCCUAACGAAAAGGAAAAUUGUGGGUUACAUGUCUCAUGAAUUAUUUGAUGAAGUAGAAUAAGAUACGUUCGGUUAUUUGAGAGAAAAAAAAACUGCACAACAUAAAAAAAUAACUGUUUGCCUAGUUGGCUAAGAAAAAAUAUAGUGGGCUCCAUGGCUCCUAAGACUCUUUAAAUAUCAUGUAAAUGGAUAUAAAAGAAGUCAAUAAAUCAUUCUGCUGAUAUUGACUGAAUUAUUUGCUAUCAACAAUUAUCCAAAAAAGAUUUCUUUAAGAAUAAUAUUUCUACCAUGUAAAACAAGAAGAAAAAGACAAAUUAAUCGGAACUUUUGUUUGUGGCUGGAACUAUUGUAAAUGUCAUUGUUGAGUUGAGAUAUUUUUUUUUUGAAGUUCCCUUUUUGCGAGGAAUGAGUAAUCUGAACGUUAUUUGUUUGUGGUUGUUGAUUCCCUGGAGCUGUUAUAGAAGUCAUUAUUGAGUAGAGAUUUUUUGAAGUUCCUUUUUGCAACGAAUGAGUAAAUAGUUGCAUAGAUGUUUGAUGGUAUUAGCAUACUCUGCUUCUAAAAUAAUGAAAGGGAUUUUCCGUUACUAUUUAGUUGUGGACUGAGGCCUGAAGAAGUAUGUUUUGAAACUCGGAAUUUCAUGGAGGAUUUGUAGGAAUCCCAUAUAUAAUAAACAUGUCAAAAUUAAUCCUCCUAUAUUUUCUUGGUCAUUUUCUAGAGCUAGGCUCAUUUAUCUUUAAUUUGUCUAGUGAAGAGUAUAUGUAUAUCCUUUGCUCCAAACAUGUAGUGGUGAGUGGAGUUUACUAAUAUUAUUAUGUGUAGUUAACCUAGAACUAGAAGCUUGGUAACUGAGCCUUAUCUAAUCUGGCCCUAAACUAACUUAUCAUCCAAACUGAUCAGUUGGAGUCUUGUGACGAUGAUAUCUCUGGUUUGUUGUGGAACGGGACUAGUACUGCCGGACAUAUUAUACAUUGGAUGCAUGCGACAUAUAUACAGUGUUGAACUUGUUUAUAUUAAUUUAUCCUGGAUAGCCAAUAGUAGCCCAUAACAUUAACAUGCAACAUAGUAUAUGCAUUUGCAUGUACUGCUAGUUCCCUGCUACGUACGAUCCUGACAGUAGGCACCUAAUCUUUCCAUGCCCCAAUAUUUUACCGCCGCUGUCGCUUCCAUUCUAGAGAGAGAACAAUAUGACCAUCUUGUAAAACAUUCUAGAGAAGAGAUGCAUGGAGAGUAUGGCAAUAAUUUAAGCAGAUUGAUGGGAGCGAGAUAUUUUUAAAGGCAGAUCAUCGAUUGAUGCAUGGGAGCGAGAGAGCUUAGCAGAGAAAAUAAAGAAGAUUGGUGAUUGGUGAUAGGCCGGGGCAGCCGUGGUGCAGCAGCAGCUAGAACUAGAGAAGCUAAAAGGAAGGCUGAUGGCAGGGCAGGGCAGUAGUUUAAGGACGGGUCCAUGCCUGCAGCUAGCUAGCAUCUAUCGACGUUCCUCCGUUGUCGCGGAGCCGGUGGACGCGAAUGGCAUGCGUGGGUGCACUACCCUGCUGAUGCACACAGCAUGCAUUGCUGCCUGCAUGCGACAUGGUAUACAGCUCCCGGCCGGCGUCUCUCCUCUCCUCUCUUCUCUUCUCUUGUCCAUCCAUCGGCAGCAUACGGUCGGUCACUCGCAGCAUGCAUGCUCCUCUGAUCGAGCUCUGCUGGUGUCGUGUCGUGUCGUCGAUGGAUCGGGGCCGGGUUGGGUGUUGCUGCAUUGCAUGCUCCCUAAAGCGCCGCCCUUGUUGCCAAAGUGAAUGCUGCCGACGACGACCGCCGCGCCGCCCGUCUUCUUUUUCGGCGGAGGGGGGCGGCCGGGCACGGGCACGGGCACGGCACAGUCUUCCGGGCAGGGGCAGGGGCAGCCGGGCAAGCCAACACCUGCUAGCGGACGAGAAAUUGAAUCGAAUGGGAAACAAAGAAAAAAUUGAUGGCUGAUGGCUCCAUCUUUCUUUCUGUCUGUCUGUCUGUCGGUCAGUCAUUUUACUAAUUUAUUUGACUGCGCUACGGAGACGACAGUGUAACAUUUUUAUUUGUAUUUAAUAAUUAUUAUUUAACUAUAGACUAAUUAGGCUCAAAAGAUUCGUCGCGUAAACUAUAGACAAACUGUGCAAUUAGUUUUUAUUUUCGUCUAUAUUUAGUACUUUAUACAUGUGCCACAAGAUUUGAUAUGACGGGAAAUUUUAAAAAGUUUUUGAAUUUCGAAGUGAACUGGUCAAAUAUGCAAUGCUUGUACGUGCGCACUAGUUUAUGCCAAUGAUUCAUUUUUCGCGGAUCCUCCGAAUUUCACACCAUACAGUCAGAAUAUAAUUGCUCCAAGACACGUCAAUUUUGAUGCGUCAAUUUGUGCAUGUGGUUCCUGGCACUACUGGAUCCGGCUUCUUUGCCGAGAGCCGCGAGCCCUCGGCAAAUGCCUAAAAGCCCUCGGCAAAGGCUUUGCCGAGGGCCAUAAACGCCCUCGGCAAAGCCUACGGCGCCGUCGAAAAACGUCAAUAUUGACGUCGUCUUUGCCGAGAGCCAUGCUGGCAGGCUCUCGGCAAAGAUUCUUUAUUUUUUUUAAAAAAAGCCUUUGCCGAGAGCCCUGCAGGAAGGCUCUCGGCAAAGAACCCCUUUGCCGAGAGCCAGACAUCCAGGCUCUCGGCAAAGAACCCCUUUGCCGAGAGCCAGACAUCCAGGCUCUCGGCAAAGCUGUAGUUCUUCUGAACCCGGCUUUCUAUCUUUGCCGAGUGCCAGCCAUCCAUGCUCUCGGCAAAGCUGAGAAUUUAGUUUUUUUUUCUGUUUUUUAUCUGUUUUUUACAUGCACAGCCACAUAUGUAUAUAUAUAUAUCACAAAUCCCUUUGUCUAUAUCACAAUCCACAUAUAUAUCACGCAUGAAACAUAUCGAAGUCCACAGAUAUCACAAAUCCACAUAGAUAUGACAAAUAUAACAUUACGUCCAACAUAAACCAUAAGUCACCACAAGUUCAUAACAUAAACCACAAGUCCACGUGAAUAUCACUCCUCGAAGUCGCUAGCGCCUCACCCCUAGUGCUGUGACUCUGACCUGUCGUCGCCGUGGCCUCCGUCGUGUCCCGAGCCUCCAUCUGGCCAAGCCGACCAGGGUGAGUGCCCCCCAGGGUGUGUAGAGCUCGCACCUGCCCACGGCGCCCACAUGGCCUGCCCUGGCACCGACGGGUACGGGUACGAGUACCCGGGGCGCGGAGGAGGGCUGCCGGACAACCCGGGGUGGCCGUGCUGCGGAUGGGCACCAGGCCACGUGUGCUGCGUACUUGGGUGGCCAUAAGUAGUAACCUGCCACCCACUCCUUGGAGAAGGGGUCGGGUUCGAACCCCACGACUGAUGCUACAUAAUAUAAAAGCGAACUCAUUAGUAUCUGCAGGACGGCCACACAAGCCAAAGCAAUAGACAAACAUAUAUACACUCACCGGACUGCCUGCAGGGGCAGGAACAGGGGGUGGAACAGGGGGUGGAGCGAAGAGCGAGGCAGGCAGCGGAGGCGCUGUAGAGCUGUGGAUGGACUGGAAGUAUCCGACUAGGUCCGAGAUCUGACGCUGCGUGUGCUGCUGCUGUGCCUCCAUGUGGCGCCGAUGGGCCUCGUCUCUGGCCGCCAGCGCGGCCGCCAGCUCUCGCCGAUGAGCCUCCUGCAGCUCGUCCUGCCUGGCCCGCAACUCCUCUAGCUGCGACUGCAAUAUUACACCCGCAAUGGUUAAACAAUGCAAAAGGAGAUGUAUAUAUGUAAAAAUAAUGGACGAUGGAUAAAGCUGUAGUUACCUGCAUCGUAGCUAUCUGCUGCACGGAGCUCGGCUGACGAGGCCGUAUGGGGACGUCGGAGGUCGAGCUGCUCCCCUGCCGAACCUCGCGGAGCGUGGGUACGGUGGCCGGGUUGAUUGCGCUGUGGGCAAUCAUGUACCGGCCGUGCUGCUUCCCUCCUCCCGUCCUCAUGAGCAAGUCCGUGUCCGAGACCCUUUGCCGUGGGCCGUCCAGUCUGGCUCUCGGCAAAGACCCUUUGCCGUGAGCCUAACGCGCAGGCUCUCGGCAAAGAACUGCUGACUUUUUUUAUUCUUUUUGAAUUUAGAGCUGAGUUUUUUUUUUUGUCCUUGUGACUCAAUUUCUAAAUACAUUUUAAAAUUUGGCAUUAAUUUGACUUUUUUUGCUAUAUUUAACUAAUUAAUCUUGUUUCUUUAUAUUUUUUCACAUAAUUCAAAUUUCAACUGUAGGUACAUGAAAUAUUACAACUCAAUGAUUCGAAAAAUGAUAGUCAAGAUAUUUGGUGUACGUUGAGGUCGUAACCACAACCACACAUGAAAUCUCAACCCUCUCGCUAACAUAACAUGUCAAGGAAUGUGAGGGAAAAUGGAUUUAUAAUUAUAUAAAUUUCAAAUAAACUCCAAAAAUCACGAAACUUGGCGACGUGUCGUGUUAUCGCAUGUGGAGGCUGUGGUAAAAAAUUCAUAAGGUUCCGAGCAAGUUGCGACACCGGAUGUCUAAAACCCAGACAUCUCCACAUGUUAUCGAAUGUGAUCACAUGCGGAGAUGUCUGGGUUUUAGACAUCUCGUGUCGCAACUUACUCGAAACCUUAUGAUUUUUUUACCACAGUCUCCACAUGCCAUAACAUGACACAUCGUCAAGUUUCGUGAUUUUUGGACUUCAUUUGGAAUUUAUAUAAUUAAAAAUCACUUGUACGACACAUGGAUGGUCAUGUUUUAUAUACAAGAAAUUCAAACUCUUGGGUGAGUUUAUGGAUACAACAUCAAAAUGCAGUCUUGAACAUGAGUAUAAUUUUUUGAAUGACUAUAUUUUAUUAUUUCAUGCUCCUACAGUUCAAAAUUACUUUUUCGAGAAAAAUACAAAUAAAAUAAUUUAAUUAAAAAAUAUAGCAAAAUGUUAUAAAAAGCUCUCAAAUUUGAACAUGUGCUUAUAUACAAUAUGUAAGGGUUACAGAAAAAGUUUGAGUACAAAACUAAAAAAAAUCUUUCUUCUUUGCCGAGAGCUUGACAAGGCACUUGGCAAAGGCCUCCUCUUUGCCGAGAGCCUAACGCCGUGGCUCUCGGCAAAGGUGACGACAACGGUUGCCGUUACCAGCGCUGCUCCUUUGCCGAGAGCCUAUCUUUGCCGAGAGCUAGGCUGUCGGCAAAGCUAGCCUUUGCCGAGGGCUUGCCUUUGCCGAGAGCUUGACCAUCGGUAAAGUUUCUUUGCCGAGGGUCGUUUCUGACUGUCGGCAAAGGCAGUCUUUGCCGAGGGCUAGCUCUCGGCAAAGCUGAGCCCUCGGCAAAGCUCUCGUUUCCUGUAGUGUGGGCUUUGAAUUGAUCGAUGGCAAAAAGCCGUAAUGGAAGCACGUCGCGUCUUGAAUGCAUGCACUAUAUAGGAAUAUAGCUACACAAAAGAAGAGAAAUAAUGACACACAUAGUAGUAGCUAGCUAGUAAAGUGUGUAUGUAAGGCCUUGUUUAGUUCCCAGAAAAUUUUGCAAAAUUUUUCACGGUCCCCGUCACAUCGAAUCUUUAAACGCAUACAUAAAGUAUUAAAUAUAGACGAAAAUAAAAACUAAUUGCACAGUUUGGUCGAAAUAGACGAAACGAAUCUUUUGAGCCUAGUUAGUCCAUGAUUGGAUAAUAUUUGUCAAAUACAAACGAAAGUGCUACAGUGUCGAUUUUGCAAAAUUUUUCGGAACUAAACAAGGCCUAAACCUAAAAGCCCAUGCAUUAUUGCUUUUUAAAAAGUUAAAGCGGUGAUGGAUGGUUUUGUUCAUGGCUCGAGGAGGAUGUGUCCUAGCUAGUUGUUGGUGGGGGAGGUGAGAGUACCUAGGAAAAUUUGCUUACAUUUUCCUGUACAUGCAUGCAUGCAACGCUAAUUGGAUGGAUAUGGUCGGAACAUGCAUGGGUCCACCAUUCACAUCUCUUGGUCCUACACGCACGCCUACUAUUGUGAUGCGUCUCAGCUUUUUAAUGUGCCUGCGUUGCAUGCAUGCAGCUGGGUACGUAAGGACACGCCGCAAGCUGCCCAAACUCUAGCUCUGCUUCCCGCAUUGCAUUGCAUUGUAUCUACCUCGUGGCGCAUUAGGGUUAGAGAGAGAGAGAGAGAGAGAGAGAGAGAGAGAGAGAGAGAGAGAGAGAGAGAGAGAGAGAAGUGUGGUAUAGCUAGCAUGCAUCCAUAUAUAUCCGAUCGACCUGUAGUUCAUGGCACAUUCAUUAGGUUUGGAAGAGUGAGAUCGAGGCAGGACGAUAUGUAGUACGUCGUCGUCCUUCGUAUAAACGGACAUUCGCUCAAUGUUGAAUUGUUGACAGACGACGAUGCGCGCGGCACUUUGUUUGACCAUGCAUGCAUUCAUCCGUGCAUGCAUGGAGCGUCUAUGUGCUUGUCCCUGAAUAAACUAAUUAAUCACUGCACGAACUCGAUCGCCUUGCUGUCAACUUAGCUUAGCUUAUUACAAGUGUGUUAACGACAAGCAAUCAUGGAAAUGAGCUGCAUAUAGACACUGUUCACAAUGCACGUUAUGUUGGAGCACUAGCUAUAGCUAAUUAAUGAGCCAGCAAUUAACAAAACGCCUGCUAAACCAAAAUAUGCAUUUAAGCCAUGUUUCGUUUCCUCCGGUAAAGUUUAACUCCUGUCAUAUCGAGUGUUUGGACACAUGCAUUAAAUAUUAAAUAUAAAUUAUUUACAAAACUAAAAUAAAACUAGAGAGUAAUUUGCGAAAUAAAUCUUUUAAAUCUAGUUAGUCUAUAAUUAGAUACUAAUUGUCAAAUAAAACAGAAAUAUGCUAUAUGCUACAGUACAUCCUUAACCGGCAAGUACAGGCCGGGUGAGGCAUGUCGGAUGCUAGAGAUGGCCAAAUGGGCUAAGCCCAAUAAUACGCAGCCUAAGCACAUAUGGGCCUACUAAAGCAUCGCAUUACAUUAUGGGUCGAGCCACUAUGUGUCUCGUGCCCUUUUUUACCAUUCAAAAUGGGUGCUCUCAGGAUGGAUCAUAAUUAUGCCCCUUUUUAAUUCGAGAGCAAUGUUGAUCAAAUUUCGUCGUAGUUGCAGCACAGCCAAAAAAAAAAACUAACAAAAAGAGCCUGUCAGACAACCCAUGGGCCAUCCCAGCCAGGCAAGCCUGGCCGGAAACGAUCAUCUACAGCACCGGACAAAGCGUCAGAGCCAAUCCUGGCCGUUAAUCACGCUCUGGCCCACAGGUCAUGGCUCAUCAACCAGGCUUAAGUGCUUGCCUCCUUAUUAAUCAAGGAUGCAGCGGUACGAUCCUAUAGAACAGAUCCUGUUCAAGUAAGGUCGU
rnacentral:lncRNA from 1 species